AACGCGAAGAACCUUACCCAGGCUCGAAAUGUAGAGGGCGAUACCAGAAAUGGUAUUUUCCGUAAGGACUUCUAUAUAGGUGCUGCAUGGCUGUCGUCAGCUCGUGCCGUGAGGUGUUGGGUUAAGUCCCGCAACGAGCGCAACCCUUAUCAUUAGUUGCCAACACGCGAGGUGGGGACUCUAAUGAGACUGCCUAGGUUAACUAGGAGGAAGGUGAGGAUGACGUCAAGUCCGCAUGGCCUUUAUGUCUGGGGCUACACACGUGCUACAAUGGUCGGUACAGAAGGCAGCGAAGUCGUAAGAUGGAGCAAAUCCCAAAAGCCGAUCUCAGUUCAGAUUGUGGUCUGCAACUCGACCACAUGAAGUUGGAAUUGCUAGUAAUGACGUGUCAGCUACAACGUCGUGAAUACGUUCCCGGGCCUUGUA
rnacentral:rRNA from 1 species